AAUGAUUGGGGCCUUCUGUAAACACUGCUCAACAGAACACAUCUAACUCAAGAACUUGACAACAAGAGUUCCAAAAUAAUGUGGUACUUUAAUAACAAACUAUCUCUCUAUCUCAUUCUGGGCUUGUGACUGCUUCACUCAAGGAUUCACUGUCCCUAGACCGACUUCACGGUAGACUGACAGUUUGGUCCCCAAAAAUCACAUGGGACAUAUUUAUGUGUAACAUUCAUACCAGCACUGUCCCUUGUACACCAACACAGUACGCUGAACUGUUUUACUGGCCUGGGUCACAUUUGUCAGGUUAUCACACACAGUUAACCCUAUCGCAUCUUUCAGAAAUAACCAUUUCUUCAACCAAGCCCAAAAUUCUCGCUGGAUGGCAGAGGAUGAGCUUGGUUAAAACUUGGAACAACAUCUAGAUGACAGGAUGGUUGCCUGGUUGCUGGUCUUAAUGGUCCUGGGUUCAAACUCAGCCUGUCAUCAUCUCCUGCAAUCCUUAGGCUUGGAUAAAAUACAUUUUUAAAAUUCAAAUCUGAAGGAAUAUCAGAAACAUGUAAAAUACACAGUCAGCCUGAUCGAUUACCAUAUGAACAGGCAGACAUCCAACUGUAUUUCUAGUAUUCAAUGCAAUAUAAUAUAUCAAAAACUAACCCUAUAGCACUAUUUUUAGGCUAUAUUUUAGAUUCUGUAGAACAGAAUAUUACAUAUAUAUAUAUUACACAACACUAUAUCUAGGCUACAAAGCACAUAUUCCAAAGCACAAUAAUUGAACUCAAAAACAUUUAAUAAAUGAGUUGCCUAUCUCUUUAAAUAAGUCUCAAGUGUCUCACAUUAAUGUGAUCUCUAAUAACACAGCAAAAUCUAAUCUGUUUUUUUUUAACUAUCACUCAAGAGGAUGUUACAUAUGAUGUCAUCUGUAUUUUGUUGAUGUUGCAGUUCCUUUAUCACUGCAUCUCUUUGUGUCAAUUUUCAGAUUCAUUUAGUUUUAUUUUGUGUACAAUUGUUGAUGCAGAGCUAUAGCGAGUAUCACAAACUUGUUUGACUAUUUGCUUCAGAACAAGUUUAUUAGAAGAGUCCACUUUCUUCUAGACACAUUACAUAAGCAACAAUGUUUUCAUUAGCUUUUUCACGUUUGACAUUAAGAACUCUAGCAAUUGUUAUUAUUAUUCAUAUUGUCUGAUUUAGAUCAAUAAUAUGUCUAAUCUGGGUCUGUUGAGUUUGUGUUGAUCAGAAGAUUGAUUGUUUCUGUACACAUAGUAUUACUCUUAUUAACAGACUUACAGAUCAAGACAUAUGUUGGGAAGCAUGGCCCAGAGGCUAAGUACGUUUGUGUUGGCUAUUAUUAAUUAUAAUAUGUAUAUUCCAAAGAACAAUAAUAAAUAAAUCUGUGUGUGUGUGUCUAUGUGCUAUGUAGCAUAGACUAGAUAUAGUGCUGUGUAAAAUGUAAUAUAGCCUAAAUAUUGUUUUUAUCAGAAUCUAAAAUAUAGCCUCUAGAAAUUGUGCUGUAGAGUUAGUUUUUGACAGAGUGUGAGUUAAAUUGAAUAAAUAAUUAGUUAUAACUAAGUGACCAUGUAUUCUCUGACCCAGUUUCUUGAGUUAAUAGCUUGCCUUAUUUUCUUUGUCAGUAAUAAACAUAAAUAUACAUAGGUUUACAUGAGUUAACUUAAGUUUUCUUUUUGAUUUCCUUCCUUCAAAUAUCUGCACUAUUCAACACAUUCAGAGAGAAGCAGCAGCUCAAACUUCAAAAUUUUUGAGUCUUUCAAUUUUGCUGUUGUCACGUUCUCCACUGUUGGCUAUGGAGAUGUUUCCUCUGACAUUUGGCUGGGCCGACUCUUAAUGAUUCUAACCAUUGGCCUGGCAUUUGUUUUUAUAUCUAGCCAGAAUAGUGAUGUAAUUCUGCUGUGUCCCCGUGAGUUGGAAACCAGUAAGCAAGUCUUCUAAUAGAGGUCUGAUAGAGUCAUGUACAUCAAGCGAUCAGCACUAAAAGAUGUGGACCUGAUGUGGUGUCAAGCUGAUGAAGCUUUUGCUUGCUUCUUUUGGCUGUUCGUUUAACACAAGACAAAGCACAUACUGAUCGUCAUACCAUUUUAAGAUCCUGGGAUGUGAAAGACUUCGCACCAGACUGUCGUCAGUAUCUUUACCUCUUCCAUGCCGGCAAUAAAAUACAUCUGAAACUUGUUGCCAACAACUGUCUGUAUCCUGGACUGUCCACACUUGUAUUAUUGCUGGUACACUUUCAGCAGUAAGUUGACUUUAAAACAUUCCUAAGUUAUGACUGUUUUAGUUUUCAACUUCCUUUUAAAAUAACUCUAGAACAAAAUGGUGACAAAAUGAGCCUUAUAAACUCAAGAACCCUACAUAUAACAAAUAAUUUAAAAGUUUUUAAAAACAAUUUUUCAAAUUGAAAAAAAAAAAAAGCUAAACAUGUUCUCAGUGUGUUUUACAGCUCAUUGCAUUGCACUAUUAGUUCAUUCUAGAUUUUUCUUUGUUUCUGGCAUUCAUCAAAACUGUAUCUAGUUAAACUACCAACUAUGUCAUUUCUUUGGGCAGCUGCUGGAAAGGGUGGGUGCCUAAUGUACAACUUGGCAUUUCUUAAGAUCAAUAGAGAGGCAAUAAUGUUUGGGCAGCCCAUGUUUUUAAAAAAUCUAAAGCUAAGGAACUAAGCAGAAAGAUGGUCAACAGAUCUUUGUGGUGCCCCAAUGGUCUAACAUGCUAAGGGAUAGGUAAAUGUGAUGAAGGAAUGCAGCUUGGAAAAGAAAUAUUGUCUCUCUCAGCAGAUGAAGAUUAACAAACAUUUCAUUCUGAAAUUGAUUUAACAUUUGUAAUGUGUCUCUCUAACACCAGAAUAUAAAACUCUAUAAGACUUGGAAUAAUCUAAUUAGUUUCUUACUUCCAAUGCCACACCAGGUGAGCCAUGGCAGCAGACGUAUAGAAGGCAUGCUGGGAAUGAAAUUCAUCACAUACAGCUGCAAAAAAGUAUUUUCAUUGGUAAUUAUGUGGGCUACACAAGCCUCAGCUGAUGCUCACCAAAGAAUGUUGAGUCAGAUAUUGAAGCCAGAGCUUUGUAUCUAAGUCAAAGACCACUAGUUUUUGACAGUGUUUACAGAGGACAAGAUGUCCCAGCUCAGUCCAAAAUUCAUAAAGACUGUGUCUCAGGGAAGCAUAAGAGUUGGUCUUGGAUUCAAACUGUCAAUGAAUGUUUAGGCAUUCAUAGUGAAAAUACUGCUAACUAUCAUCAGUUCGACCAUGAUGUUUGCCACCUGGAAGAAGACAUGCUUUCAUUCUUGCUUUGGAUGGACAGUUCAACAGCUAGAGCUCAAGUCAAGACUCAAGAUCCUGAUGUCAUGUUAAAACAUUUCAGUUUAAUAAACAAUUGUUGGACUAUCAGGGCUAGUUAGAUCUUCUCACAGAGCGAAGUUGAGAUAUUCACCCAGUUCAUCACCGCCAAGAACUGCCAGAAUGGCAUUUGAAGGCUAGAGCUCUUGUCCAAUAUCAGCACAAACAUGUGUCAUUAGCAAAAGGGGACUUUGUCAAGAUUUUGGAAAAUUCUGAUGCUGAAAGAUGGAAGAUGGAAUAGAAAGUGAAGUCCCUGCUAUUGUGUUGGUCAUUCCUUCCUGCUUCCAACAGAUUGAUAAAUUAGGAGAACAAAUCAAGGUCAAUAGUUCUAUUGCUGCUGAUAAAUGGUCACAUUUAAUCCAGUUUUUAAGUGCUGCUAUUUCCCAGACACAGUCCAAAGAUUUAUGUUUUUCCUGCUGAAGAUGAUGAAUGAGGCAGCAGACAUCUUGAAAGGAGCUGAUUUCAAGUUCCUUCAACAGUCUUUUCAUUUUAUUUAGGAAGAAGCUCAUCAGUCACUUCAAACCAGGCAACUUCAAAACUACUUUGUCAACUAUCCAGAGAUUCAGGGGAAUGAAAUCUUAGACUAUUUAUUUAAGAUGUUCCUUCAGAGUUGAAAACAACUACAUUCUAGCUUGAACUUCCCACAAGAAGAUGUGGGGUGGCAGCAGGCAGGGGUCUAACCUAGGAUCAUGGAGACCACUAAACGAUAGUCCAGAGUGUAUAUGAUUGAUUGAGUAGACAAAGAAAGGAUGGAUUACUGGAGCUAAAAGAAGGCAUAAUUUAACAAUAGACUACUUUGGGAUAUGGAAUGAGAGAGGCUAUAGUGUUGAUUAUAUAAAUAUGUAGGUCUCAGCUGGGGCUGCACAGCCACGGGAAAUACUGCAUUCCUAACUUAUCUUGGGACUUAUUAUAAAGCUGCCAUUAUCCGAGGACAUAUGAUUCUCUGGAGGCUUACAUCACUGGAAAAAGUCUUUGGGCCCCUGAAGAUUACAGUACAUGUAAUGCUGCAAAAGGAGGAGGAUGCUGGGCCAGGCACAUACAACUCAAUUUACUUCUAUUGGCUGGAAAUAUUUAAAGCAUGACAGUGGCGUAGGUAAAUUACCAAAUAGUGGAUCUUAUGUUGGAUUGAUCAGCCCUGAUGAACUGACCUGACCAUUGUAAUUGAAACCAUAACUCAUGACCACUCUAUCUGUCUAGGUCCUGGUAUACCCUGGGAUAAUGUUCACCCACAACUUUUAACUUGAAAGUUUAAAGGAAGUUUUGCUAAACUAACAAGCAUGAAUGUCUGGUACAGUAAGAUAGGGUUAAUGGUCAACCUGACAUUAUGGUUCAUUCAUUGGGACAGCUAAUGUUUGUGUCUGACCAAGCAGUUCUCAAAUUAGGGCUUGAUGAAGUCUACAAACUGACCACUAUCUACUGGACAAAAAGGAUCAUAUUCUGACCCCCUCCCUCCCACCAUUUCCUCUGCCUUAUCUUGAUGACUUUGAAGGUAUACAAUUUUUGAGAAAAAAAUCACAAAAAAAAUUUUAAAAAAUGGAGGCGCCUAACCCUAACUCGAUUAAAUAAUAUGAGUACCUAAUUGGAGAUAUUUCUAUGGAUGUAGUUUGUAUUUGAUGUGAAAUAAUUCGUGAUGCUAUUUUAUGGCUGAGAUUGCCUACUUUCUGAACUAUUAUUUGAUGUAAUAAAUAUUUGUCUGACAGAGAGGUGUUUGUGAUUAUUUUAUCCAUAAUAUGUGAUGUGUUUAAUUAAGAAUACAAGAACACUACAUCAAGGCCAGAAGAGGCCUUAAU